rnacentral:rRNA from 1 species
GUGGGGAAUAUUGGACAAUGGGGGGAACCCUGAUCCAGCCAUGCCGCGUGUGUGAAGAAGGCCUUUUGGUUGUAAAGCACUUUAAGCGAGGAGGAGGCUACCGAGAUUAAUACUCUUGGAUAGUGGACGUUACUCGCAGAAUAAGCACCGGCUAACUCUGUGCCAGCAGCCGCGGUAAUACAGAGGGUGCAAGCGUUAAUCGGAUUUACUGGGCGUAAAGCGCGCGUAGGUGGCCAAUUAAGUCAAAUGUGAAAUCCCCGAGCUUAACUUGGGAAUUGCAUUCGAUACUGGUUGGCUAGAGUAUGGGAGAGGAUGGUAGAAUUCCAGGUGUAGCGGUGAAAUGCGUAGAGUUCUGGAGGAAUACCGAUGGCGAAGGCAGCCAUCUGGCCUAAUACUGACACUGAGGUGCGAAAGCAUGGGGAGCAAACAGGAUUAGAAACCCUUGUAGUCC